ACAAAGGUGACAGUAAAGGCCUUGGAAGAAAUAAGGAACAUGACAACAAAAGACGCAGUGGCAGAGGUUGAUCAUGGACCACUGGAUGAGAGUGAAAUGGAGGCCAUGGAGAUGGCAAUAAGGAAUGACAUGGAGAGGCGUGGGCUUGUGUAAAAACGAUCCAAUAAAGGUUUCUUAAAUCAGAUUCACCUGUGUUUUUCAGAUUCAGUAGGCUCUGUAGAAUAAUCUAGGACAGGUUUGACGGCACUGAGUAUCAAUAAAACGGAG